rnacentral:rRNA from 1 species
AACUUUCAACAACGGAUCCUCGUUGGUUCUGGCAUCGAUGAAGAACGCAGCAAAAUGCGAUCAACGUAAUGUGAAUUGCAGAAUUCAGUGAAUCAUCGAAUCUUUGAACGCACAUUGCGCCCGCCAGUAUUCUGGCGGGCAU